UAACAUCACAGUAUAAACAGAACUCUGUAGCAUGAUUUUAACUGUUUUUUACUAUUUAAAAUCAUAAAUUGGAUCAAUAAGCUACUAUAUAGCUUGAUUAUGUUGUAUCUAAAGGACAGUCCUGCAAAAUUGUUAGCUCAGUAAAUUAAUUAACUGGUUACUCCAGUUAGCUCAAGUUAGCUCAGACGUGUGAACAAUCUUCAAAACCACCAAAAAAUGACUUCGGUAAAGAAAGUCUUGAAAAAGCUGCCUGGUAACAUUCUACCUGGUCAAGAUGAAGGACCAUCAGAGAAUGUUGAUAUUGAAAAGAUAGUAAAAAAGGUUAUCUCCAAUCCAGUUCUCAAUCAGGAGGUUGGAAAGGAACUCGAUAAGGUCAGUUUUAUUCAUUUUUUAUCUAUUCUAUGAUUCAACAAUUUUCUAUGUGAGUGUGGUUGAUUAUUAGUGAAAUAGGUAUAUUUAUUUAAUAUUAAUAAUAAUAGUAAUUUAGUGAACUGGCUCGCUCAGGUCUAAUGACACGUUUCAGGUCAAACUUGAUCCAUUCAUUCAGGGCCUCUGACAUGACCUAACAACUGCUUUCAGACAGCCUGGACCGACUAUUUAACGUGUCCAUUCGAAACACGAGAACAACCUGAGAAAAAUAUCU